rnacentral:tRNA from 1 species
AAAGGGAGACCUAAUUCGGGUAUAAGACGAAAAAAUAGUAGUCGAAACCAAGAAUCAAUCCCAAAAGGUCGGAACGAGGUAUGUGGCUUUCAAACUAGGUUCUGGGUUCAUAAAAGACCUGAAUCAGGAACAAGGGCUAUUAGCUCAGGUGGUUAGAGCGCACCCCUGAUAAGGGUGAGGUCCCUGGUUCGAGUCCAGGAUGGCCCACCUGCACAGGUGGCAAAAACAAAGAAAAGAAGCGAGGAAUCAGCACCUUAUCUUACUUAUAUAGUAAGAGAGAAUGCUGGCUCUGAGUACAGAGUCCAGAGGAACCUCGAAAACUGCAUAGAGCUAGGUGAAAAAGCCAAAAAAGAAGACCGCAAG